CAGAAGCAAGGGCUGAUGGAGCACAUGAAAACAGGGAAGCAGAUCUAAGCAUGAGAACCCAUCUCACACCAAAGUUUAGAAGGUAGCCAGGCCAAGACAGUACUGGCAGAAUGGAGAAGCCUCCUAAAGCCCUGCUGAGCAGCCUAACAAGUGCCUCAGAUCCAUGAUGGUUUCUUUUUCUGUAAUGAACUCUACGUGGACACAGACCCCUCCACCAAGCACCAAAUUAAGUGCUUCUGGAUGUUAGCUUUUCAUUAAAACCCUGAAAGGUACACAUCUGGAACUGCUGGAUGGCCUUGUGGUGGGACCUCUUAUACCCAGGGGGAGGAGUCAGAGGUACACAUCUGGAACUGCUGGAUGGCCUCGUGGUGGGACCUCUUAUACCCAGGGGGAGGAGUCAGAGCUGUAUUUUAUAUUUUGAUACAAUAAAAUUAUGGGACGUGGUGGCUCAGUGGCUAAGACUCUGAGCUUGUCGAUCGGAAGGUCAGCAGU